AGCAAAUUUAUUUCUGGUUUCUGCGUAUCCAUUAUGGCCUCGGCUACUCUUUCUGUAGCCAAACCAUCCCUUCAGGUUCCUCUUCCUCUUAAUUUGUUAUGUUACACUCGGAACUUGUGUCUUUAUGUAAGUUUGAUUUGUUUAUUUUUGUUUUUUGUUCAGGGAAAUGGAAAGGGAUUCCAAGAAUUCUCAGGCCUCCGCAACUCAGCAGCUUUCCUUCCCUUUUCCAAGAAAACUUCUGAUGACUUGCUCUCAGUCGUUGCUUUCCAGACUUCUGCUGUGAGUUUCAUAUAUUCUCAUAUUAAGAAACUAAUAUUGUAAGCAAUUAGAUGCAUGCCACUAUUAAUGGAAUACGAAUCAGCAAGUACAUUGAACAGAUUGCCAAAUGGGAAUCUCAAAAUGAAGUUAAAACUGAUCAUAGCUUGUUCAAUUUAGAGAGAUAAGACAGUAUCCAUCAUUGAAAUUAGAUCUCCUGUUCAAUUUAGUAGGAGAAGACUUCUAAUAGUUAAGUUGGAUUGGUAGAAUCUCAGGAUUUGUGUAUUUGAAUGUGAAGGUGGGAAGCAGCAAUGGGGGAUACAGGAAAAUUGCAGCUGAGGCUAAGCUAAAAGUGGCCAUAAAUGGAUUUGGUAGGAUUGGAAGGAACUUCUUGAGAUGCUGGCAUGGACGUAAGGAUUCCCCUCUGGAUGUUAUCGCCAUUAACGACACUGGCGGUAUCAAGCAAGCCUCUCAUCUCCUCAAGUACGAUUCCACCCUUGGCAUCUUCGAUGCUGAUGUUAAGCCUGCUGAGAAUGGUAUCUCUGUCGACGGCAAGGUCAUCAAGGUUGUUUCUGAUCGCAACCCCGUCAAUCUUCCUUGGAAGUAAGCUCAGAGAGGCUCUGCUUCAUUCCUUCUUGUCCUUGCUUUCCCUGAUUAAGAUUGCUUGAUUCUGAAUGUAAGAACACGAUUUGAAUGCUAUGUAGGGACUUGGGUAUCGACCUGGUGAUUGAAGGAACUGGAGUUUUCGUGGACAGGGACGGUGCUGGAAAGCACAUUCAGGCAGGAGCCAAGAAAGUGCUCAUCACAGCCCCUGGAAAAGGUGACAUCCCAACCUACGUCGUCGGAGUCAAUGCUGAUGCUUACAAUCCUGAUGAGCCUAUUAUCAGCAAUGCUUCUUGCACUACCAAUUGCCUUGCUCCUUUUGUCAAGGUCCUUGACCAGAAGUUUGGUACAAUUCCUCUCUUCUUUAUUCCAUUUUCUUUAAGAAUUUGGAUUCCAGUGAUUGAGUUCGACCUCCUGUAGGCUUUAGAAAUACUCAAUAGAAAUGAAAAAUUGAAAAUUGAAUGACAACUUGUGGCUACCUGCAGGCAUUAUCAAAGGAACCAUGACUACCACUCACUCAUACACCGGUGACCAGAGACUCCUGGACGCCAGCCACCGCGAUCUCAGACGGGCAAGAGCUGCUGCUCUAAACAUUGUUCCAACUUCAACUGGUGCAGCCAAGGCAGUUGCCCUUGUCCUUCCAACUCUCAAAGGAAAACUUAACGG
rnacentral:lncRNA from 1 species